rnacentral:lncRNA from 1 species
CAGCUGGAAGCACUGUAAUUUCAACUGAUCUUUCUUCGAAUCAAAAUAUUGUUGUCUUCACUGGAAUCAGUUUCAAUCACAUCAUCCAUUUUGACCUCAUAAACUGAAUUGGUAACCGUCUUCUCUCCUACCGUCAGAUCCAAGAAAAUAGCCUUACAAAUUAUUUCACCUUCCACAACAUUGCAACAACAAUUGGCUGCAGAGUUGGACCUCAAGCAACUGUCAUAUCUCUCUCUGAAGGAUGAUCUUCCACCACAACUUAAUUGCAUGAGUUCUCCAUGUGGUUGGCUAGUUAGCUACUAAUUGUGCAGGUCCAUCAGAACAAGCAAAAAUUCUGUUCAACUAACUUUUGCACAUCAGUUUUACUUCAACAUGUAUCUGGCAAAUUGUAAUGAGAAUCUGCAUUGUCAUUAACUUGACCCACAAGUGCCAAAUUUUCAUCUAGUGUUUGAUCGUGCUUCGCCUGUCAUUUUGCAAUCAUAAUCUUUUUUUUCUUUACACUUCCA